GAUGAACGCUGGCGGCGUGCCUAAUACAUGCAAGUCGAGCGAACGGACGAGAAGCUUGCUUCUCUGAUGUUAGCGGCGGACGGGUGAGUAACACGUGGAUAAUCUACCUAUAAGACUGGGAUAACCUCGGGAAACCGGAGCUAAUACCGGAUAAUAUUUUGAACCGCAUUGUUCAAUAGUGAAAGACGGUCUUGCUGUCACUUAUAGAUGGAUCCGCGCUGCAUUAGCUAGUUGUUAAGGUAACGGCUUACCAAGGCAACGAUGCAUAACCGACCUGCGUGGGUGAUAGGCCACACGGGAGCUGGGACACGGUCCAGACGCCUACGAGACGCAGCAGUAGGGAAUCUUACGCAAUGGGCGAAAGCCUGACGGAGCAAGGCCGAGUGAGUGAUGAAGGUCUUCGGAUCGUAAAACUCUGUUAUGAGGGAAGAACAUAUGUGUAAGGAGCUGUACACAUAGUGACGGUACCUAAUCAGAAAGCCACGGCUAACUACGUG
rnacentral:rRNA from 1 species